UACAGAGGGUGCAAGCGUUGUUCGGAAUUAUUGGGCGUAAAGCGCGUGUAGGCGGCUUUGCAAGUCGGGUGUGAAAUCCCUCAGCUCAACUGAGGAAGUGCGCCCGAAACUGCAGAGCUUGAGUGCCAGAGAGGGCGGCGGAAUUCCCCAAGUAGAGGUGAAAUUCGUAGAUAUGGGGAGGAACACCGGUGGCGAAGGCGGCCGCCUGGCUGGUAACUGACGCUGAGACGCGAAAGCAUGGGGAGCAAACAGG
rnacentral:rRNA from 1 species